CCCUUAGAUGUCCUGGGCCGCACGCGCGUUACACUGAUGCAUUCAACGAGCUUAUAACCUUGGCCGAGAGGCCUGGGCAAUCUUGUUAACGUGCAUCGUGAUAGGGAUAGAUUAUUGAAAUUAUUAAUCUUGAACGAGGAAUUCCUAGUAAACGCAGAUCAUCAAUCUGCAUUGAUUACGUCCCUGCCCUUUGUACACACCGCCCGUCGCACCUACCGAUUGGAUGGUCCGGUGAAUAAUUCGGACUGCAGCAGGCCUGGUCUCCGGGUUUUGCAGCGGAAAGUUUAGUGAACCUUAUCACUUAGAGGAAGGAGAAGUCGUAACA
rnacentral:rRNA from 1 species